ACGUAGGAGGCAAGCGUUAUCCGGAGUUACUGGGCGUAAAGGGCGUGCAGGCGGUUGGCUAAGUUCGUUGUGAAAGCGCCCAGGCUUAACCGGGCGAGGACAAUGAAGACUGGUCAGCUAGAGGACGGUAGAGGGGUGUGGAAUUCCAGGUGUAGCGGUGAAAUGCGUAGAUAUCUGGAAGAACACCAGUUGCGAAGGCGGUCUCUUGGUCCGUUACUGACGCUCAGGCGCGAAAGCGUGGGGAGCAAACAG
rnacentral:rRNA from 1 species